GCACGUGUGGCGGAAUCAGGUAGACGCGCAUCGUUGAGGUCGAUGUGUCCGUAAGGGCGUGUGGGUUCAACUCCCAUCAUGUGCAC
rnacentral:tRNA from 1 species